UACAGAGGGUGCAAGCGUUGUUCGGAAUCAUUGGGCGUAAAGGGCGUGUAGGCGGUCUGUUAAGUCAUGUGUGAAAUCCCUCGGCUCAACCGGGGAACGACGCAUGAAACUGACAAGCUAGAGUACCAAAGAGGGGGGUGGAAUUCCCGGUGUAGCGGUGAAAUUCGUAGAUAUCGGGAGGAACACCAGUGGCGAAGGCGGCUCUCUGGACAGGUACUGACGCUGAGACGCGAAAGCGUGGGUAGCAAACAGG
rnacentral:rRNA from 1 species